rnacentral:lncRNA from 1 species
CCAAAUAAAAAUAGGAUUUGGGCUGUAUGGAUACGGAUGGGAUAAGUUCAUAACUUAGGCUUAAUGGAGAAGAAGGCCCAAAUACAUCCAGGAUUUGGGAUUUAUGUAUACGGAGGGGCUAAGUUCACAACUUAGGCUUGAUGGAGAAUAAGGGCCAAAUUCAACAGAUUUGGGCUUGAUGAAUAGAGGAGCUAGAUGCAAAGGUUUGGGCUUGAGUUGGAGGUGGAAGGCAG